rnacentral:rRNA from 1 species
ACGAACGCUGGCGGCGUGCUUAACACAUGCAAGUCGCACGGAAAGGCCCUGCUUUUGUGGGGUGCUCGAGUGGCGAACGGGUGAGUAACACGUGAGUAACCUGCCCUUGACUUUGGGAUAACUUCAGGAAACUGGGGCUAAUACCGGAUAGGAGCUCCUGCUGCAUGGUGGGGGUUGGAAAGUUUCGGCGGUUGGGGAUGGACUCGCGGCUUAUCAGCUUGUUGGUGGGGUAGUGGCUUACCAAGGCUUUGACGGGUAGCCGGCCUGAGAGGGUGACCGGCCACAUUGGGACUGAGAUACGGCCCAGACUCCUACGGGAGGCAGCAGUGGGGAAUAUUGCACAAUGGGCGGAAGCCUGAUGCAGCAACGCCGCGUGCGGGAUGACGGCCUUCGGGUUGUAAACCGCUUUCGCCUGUGACGAAGCGUGAGUGACGGUAAUGGGUAAAGAAGCACCGGCUAAUUACGUG